rnacentral:rRNA from 1 species
GAACGAACGCUGGCGGCGUGGCUAAGACAUGCAAGUCGAACGAGCUAGGCAAUUGAGCAAUCGAACGCCUAGUUAGUGGCGAAAGGGUUAGUAAUGGCUAGGCAACGUACCCUGUACUUCGGGAUAGCGUCUGAGUGCUUGCACUCUUCCGAAAGGGGCAUUAAUACCGAAUGAUAUCCCCCGUCGAUGGGCGGGUGAUCAAAGAUUUAUCGGUGCAGGAGCGGCCUAGUUCCUAUCAGCUAGUUGGUGAGGUAACGGCCCACCAAGGCGAUGACGGGUAGCGGGACUGAGAGGUUGGCCCGCAACAUCGGGACUGAGACACUGCCCGGACCUCCACGGAGGGCUGCAGUAACGAAUAUUGGGCAAUGAGCGAAAGCUUGACCCAGCGACGCCGCGUGUAGGAGGAAGUCCUUCGGGAUGUAAACUACUGUCAGGGGGAAGAAAGUCCGUUUCGGCGGAUUGAUCUAACCCAGAGGAAGUCACGGCUAACUUCGUGCCAGCAGCCGCGGUAAGACGAAGGUGGCGAGCGUUGUUCGGAAUCACUGGGCUUAAAGCGUGUGUAGGCGGAAGCGUAAGCGUUUUGUGAAAUCCCUCGGCUUAACCGAGGAAUUGCUUGACGAACUGCGCUUCUUGAGGCAGGUAGGGGUGCGAGGAACUCUUGGUGGAGCGGUGGAAUGCGUAGAUAUCAAGAGGAACGCCGGUGGAGAAGUCGUUGCACUGGGCCUGUCCUGACGCUGAGACACGAAAGCGUGGGGGAGCGAACGGGAUUAGAUACCCCGGUAGUCCACGCCGUAAACGAUGCCUACUAGGUUGUGGCGGUUCUGACGCCGGCACAGCCGAAGCCAAAGUGUUAAGUAGGCCGCCUGGGGAGUACGGUCGCAAGGCUAAAACUCAAAGGAAUUGACGGGGGCUCACACAAGCGGUGGAGCAUGUGGAUUAAUUCGAAGCAACGCGCAGAACCUUACCUGGGUUUGACAUGCUUGGAUGCCCGCCUGGAAACAGGUUGGGCUGCCUUCGGGUGAAACUUGCACAGGUGCUGCAUGGCUGUCGUCAGCUCGUGUCGUGAGAUGUCGGGUUAAGUCCUCUAACGAGCGAAACCCUUGCCGUUAGUUACCAGCGGGUCAUGCCGGGAACUCUAACGGGACUGCUGGUGUUAAACCGGAGGAAGGUGGGGAUGACGUCAAGUCAUCAUGGCCUUUAUGCCCAGGGCCUCACACGUGCUACAAUGGUCGGAACAAAGCGACGCAAGACCGCGAGGUGGCGCAAAUCGCAAAAAUCCGGCCCCAGUUCGGAUUGCAGGCUGGCAACUCGCCUGCAUGAAGUUGGAAUCGCUAGUAAUCGCGUAUCAGCGAUGACGCGGUGAAUGUGUUCCUGAGCCU